AGUAGAAUUACUGUUGGGAAGUAACUAUGGCAUUAAGGUCUUCCAAGAAGCAGAUGCCAAGAUGGGCUCAAAUGUGCAAGAUAUUUAUGGAAAACCACCUAUGAAGGACAAAGGAACAGAGAACAAGAGCCUUCCCCCAUGUCUAAUACCUGUGAAAGGAGAGAGAGAAGGAAGAAUUUAGUAGGAAGAGCCUGAGGUUGCUGCUUAGUUCUGAGAAAGCCUCAGCGAGGCCGAUGGAGAGCCCUUGAGCUGAGGUUGCCCAUUAGACAAAUUCUGCAUCAGGUAGUACUGGUUCUUUUCUAGUAACCUGGCCAUGCUCAGUCUUUGUGCAGGAGUAGCCCAGGAGAGCAUGGCCUGGGAUAAAUUCCUCAAUGAAUACAAAGUUGCAGCAGCUCAGCUAUGCUAGUCACAGCAGUUUCUUUUAAGGGAAAUCUGAGUAGAACACCUCCAUGGCUAUCACAGCCAACCCAGAUUGUGCAUUUGCUCAUGAACUAGAUAUGGCCACAUGAACAAUAGGUGAUAUUUCCCAGGAGACUCCUGGAGGUGCAAUGAGAUCUCUGCAGUAAGAGGUUGAAUGUGUACCUUUGGAUGUUCACAGAUGAGGGAAGGAAUCAUAAUUGGCUAACAAGAGGAGAUACAUUUGACUAUGUUAAGAGAACUGGAGGACCUCCACCAAGAUCUUGUGAUUGACAUCAUGUCUGGAUGCAGCUGCUUAUAAUCCACAGCCUCUGAAUAUAAAGACAGGUUAUGUCCCCGAAACACAAAAGAUACAAUGAUGAAGAGGAAUAAAACGACUACAACAAACACUUCCACUCAAAAAAGGGACAUAACAGAAGGGCCUUCAGAUAAGGUUCAAAUUGUCCAACAUGGUCUACAAAGCUCUCUACUGUUCCAGGAGCACUCAAGGGGGAAGGACAGGAAAUCCAGGUGCUGAUCAGAAACCCACAAAUAUCUGCCAGGCUGGCAACAGACCCUAAAGAGAGGAGCCUGGGAGGUAGGCAAUAUUAUCGCUAUGUUACUGAAGAUACAACUGAGGCGUAUCUCAAGCUACUUAUGCCAGCUCUUAUUGCCUGUGAGGAUCAAGCCAAAAUCAAACAGAUUAACAAAAAACAGUUGAGGAGCAAGCUAAAUUCCUACAGGCAAUAGUGGGACCAGAGCUCAUAGGCUGGCACCAAUAGUACAGUUUGGUCCCAAGGAGAAGCAGCAAGGCCAUGCAGGGAAUCACAUAAACAGAUCAGAAACUGAAGUUUGGCUUGCUGACGUGACUUGCUCAAGGUCACAUAGCUACGAAUUGUAGACCUAGAACUAAAAACAUCCUGGCUCCUUGUCUAGUUUUUAUUGCUCUAUCCCAGGUUGUCUAGCUUAACUAACUCUUGCUUCAUGGAGCUUGUAGGAAAGGAUGCCCUGCAAAUGCAGGACGUAAGCAUCUGGGGAAUAUAUCCAAUCAUUCUUGCA
rnacentral:lncRNA from 1 species